rnacentral:rRNA from 1 species
UACGUAGGGCGCAAGCGUUAUCCGGAAUUAUUGGGCGUAAAGGGCGCGUAGGCGGCUCUGCACGUCCGUUGUGAAAUCGCCCGGCUCAACUGGGCGGGGUCAGCGGAUACGGCAGAGCUUGAGCAAGCUAGGGGGCAAUGGAAUUCCCGGUGUAGUGGUGGAAUGCGUAGAUAUCGGGAGGAACACCAGUGGCGAAGGCGGUUGCCUGGGGCUUUGCUGACGCUGAUGCGCGAAAGCGUGGGGAGCGAUCCGG